AAAAAGCAAACCCUAGGUUUUUUUUUUUUGUCUAAUUUUGACUGUCCGUCUUAUAUGAAUUUUUCUUAUAAUUCGUAUUUUUAUUGUUGUUAGAUGAUAAAACAUGAUUAAUAUUUUAUGUGUGACUUGUCUUUUUAAUUUUUUUCAUAAUUUUUUCAAAUAAAACGGACGGUUAAACAUUGGGCACGGAAACCAGGGUUUGUCUUUUU
rfam:Oryza sativa (indica cultivar-group) chromosome 12, whole genome shotgun sequence.